rnacentral:rRNA from 1 species
CAGUCGCCACGGUAGUACGUAGGGGGCAAGCGUUGUCCGGAAUUAUUGGGCGUAAAGCGCGCGCAGGCGGUUUUUUAAGUCUGGUGUCUAAGUGCGGGGCUCAACCCCGUGACGCACUGGAAACUGGGAGACUUGAGUGCAGAAGAGGAGAGCGGAAUUCCACGUGUAGCGGUGAAAUGCGUAGAGAUGUGGAGGAACACCAGUGGCGAAGGCGGCUCUCUGGACUGUAACUGACGCUGAGGCGCGAAAGCGUGGGGAGCAAACAGGAUUAGAGACCCCAGUAGUCCCUGUCUCUUAUACA